UAGUUGAGUUGAAGCCACAUUUUACCGAGCCUGAAGUAGAGAGAACGGUCUGUGAUGCCUAUUGACUGUUUGCUCGCUCAUUUCUUCCGCAUAAAUUUAUCUCUCCUGGAGCUGACCUUGGAAAAAAAACUCUGAACUUCCUUCGGUAAUGUCUCAUGUGAGACUGCAUGUGCAUAAUUUAUUCUGACCCUGUAAGGAACUGGAAACUCUGCCUCUUGAUAACAUUAUCCUGUGGUGAUACUGUUAUGAGCUCUUAAUGGUCAUCGUCUUUUAAGUCAAAUCCUGUGGUGAUAAUAUUAGUCUAGCAAUGUACCUGUGCUUUGCUAUGGAAUGAGGGGAGGAUAUUAUCAGUAGCGUGUUGAGCACCUGUGGUCUUCUUGCUGCAGUUCAAGCGACUGCCAGCUAGUGCCCCAGUGGGGAUUGAGCGUCAUGGAGGUGAUUGAACACGAGGAGUAGGGGGCGGUCAUGGAGGUUAUGGCAGCCGGUUAUGCAAAUGGUUUUUGUGUGCUGGUUUGUAGCACCUCUGUUUUUAAAUAUAAGAUGUUUUGGCAAUUCUGUUUUUAAUUAUAUGAUGUUUUGGCAAUUCUGUUCUUAUAGAGUACUCUCUCUGUAAAGAAAUAUAAGAGUGUCUAGUCAUUACUCUAGUGAUCUAAACACUCUUAUAUUUCUUUACAGAUGAAGUAUUUAGGAACAGAAGGUGUAGCUUAUUGCGCUGCUUGCUAUGCAAUGACAUCAAUGGUCUAAAAAUGUUUGAUGCAACACUUUAUAUGCAAUGACAGCAACGAGUUGGAGGCUGAAAGUGUUUUAUGCAAUGCUGGUUAUGUUUGAAAUGAUGUGCUACAAGCAUGCUGACCACAAGAAAUAAAAUAAAAUAAAUACAAGCUAGAGGGGCUGGCAAGCCUUUAUGAUAGGCAGUUUGUGACCCAGAGUGUGGUCUUCCUGAUGUUCCCAAGAUAACAACUGCCGUAUGCCCAUACGUUUUGGGGUGUGCAAAGAGAUCAGCUAGCAGAGAGAAAUAUCAAUAUUCUUCUUCCUCGCCUUGUCCCGCUGCUCCCUGGCCUCCCUCUCCUUCCUCGCCUCGUCGAAUCUGUAUCCCAGUAUUCCCUUCCCCGUCACGUUGUACUUGUAUGUGAGCAUCAUGGUGAGGGCGAUGCAGCCAAACAGCAGCUCAGGCCCUUUCCUGUAAAGCCACCAUCAACAGAUCAGAUAUAUUAAUUGCAAACCUCAACCACAAUCUCGAUAAUAAAUGAAUUUAUCAACAAUUUUUUGAGGAAUAAUUAUGAAGAAAUGAGCAAUGAGAAGAGGUUGAAAAUGGCAAAAGCAUCAAAUAAGGAUGAUGUAUGUACAAGGUUUCAUAGAAAGAUGCUAUUGCUUUCUUGAUGUUAUCAGCCGUCCAGGAUCCAUGUGUACCAUAGGAGGACAUCUUCCUCUAUAAAUUGGAGUAGCUGAAUACGCCUCAGCGAAAUGAACCAAAAAAAGAGUUCCGUCGCCUGGACUUGGUGGUGGCGGCGUCGGCCAUGGGGUCGAUGCAGGGGAAGUAGUCGAAGCAGAGGCGGAUGGAGACGGGAGCAGUCACGCCGAGACGCUCCCAAAAACCUUAUUGCCGUUCUCCAGGGUAGGAUCUCGAACGACAGGCUUUCAGAGGCACCUGCUCUCCCGACCAACCGUGCAUGCUAUUGUCGGGAUGGGAUCGCUGGAAGCAACACAAAGAGAGGAACUCUAGAUGACGACUAGGGUUUUGCAGGAGAGAGUGAGUGAGUUAGGGUUCACUCUACAGGCCAGUGCCUCCUUAUAUAGGCUAUCAGGUAGAUGGGCCUGAGCUUAGCCCCAUGAACGAGUCCACGAACAGCCCACGAUCCAACGUCUCGGACAGUGGCACUUCAGUUAGUGACUCGUUAAUUAAUCCACAAUUAAUUAACCAUUCUUGACCGGCAAAAAUAAGGCUUGGCUCAUACCCACAACCCACACGCGUGUCAUGACGAGGCAAGGCUGGCGGCGGCGGAGAAGGAGCGCACAUAUACAACUCCUCUUCCCAAGAUCCCAAUGGCAUGUGGUAGAACAAACCUUAUAAUGGGGGUCUCACUCUUACUAUUGCAGCAGUAUGGUACUAAACUUCUCACCACUUGCCAUGCACCUAAAUGAGCCUUAGGGAUUAACUGGGGAUUAUUGUCUUAUAUGGGCCAAAGCCCAUCUAUAAUCCAACAACCCCCACCAGAUCUCAAGGCACAUAAGUUUGUCAACUGUUCCAAACAAUGUUUGAUAUACCAGAAUUUUUAGUGGAGACUGCUAAAUUGAACUUUCAUCUAGAGCAACAGGAUUAUACUUCUUCACAACUAAAUAAUGGACUAUACCUUGAAUUGUCAGUUUAGCGUGCAGAAGUUUCGCCAUUGUUAGUUGAUACGUGGUUGCCGAAGGCUAAUCCUCACGGGUGGAGCUUAUUAUAGUCAUACUCUUUGCAUUCUCAUGAGCUUCCUAGAGAUUACCCAAUCUCAUAGACUGUGACUAGCAGUCGGACUCACACAUGUGUGUUCCUCCAAAGAAUGCUAUGUAGGAUAGCAUCUAGCUUACACAAGCUAUGGGACACAUUAAGACAAAAGUCAGCUUGCCUUACAAAUUACGAGAGUAUUGCAUCUCCAACGAAGUGGGUUAGUAAGGAUACUCUCCUCAUUUGACCGCGGGGUUGUAUUCUCGAGUCCUAAUUCACGGAAUCUCCGAUCACAUAUGUUGGUUUACCCCCAUGGCAACUUACGUGGGUUUUUUGCCCAUCUCCCUCGAUGCAUUUUCUAUCACAACCGUGAUAGCCCUUUCAUGAAGAGAUCAGCUAGAUUCUUAGCCGUUUGGAUGUAAUCCAAUGCUAUAACUCCAGAGAUUCUAGGAUGUCGGACGAAUUUUAAUCUUCUUCUUAUGUGCUUUGUGGAUUGCAUAUUGUCAUUUAAGCUCUUAGCCUUGGCAAUCACCGUUUUAUUAUCACAGUUCAUAAGGAUGGCCGGGACUGGCUUAUCAGCCACUGGCAAAUCCAUCAAGAGCUCUCGACACCAUUCUGCUUCGACGCAUGAUGUGUCUAAUGUUAUGAGUUAUGAUUCCAUGGUUGGUCCCGUUUUGAUCGUCUGCUUACAUGCCUUCCAGAAAACGGCAGCACAACCAAUAUUCAAUAAGAAAGAUCUGCAUUCUGGACUGUAAUAGCCAACAAGAAAUCGAAUCCGUGGCCUAAAGACAUUCUUCAUGGCCUUAAAACUAACUUUCAAUAUUCAAUAAGAAUCAAAACCGUAGCAACGCAGAUGCACAUUUGAUAGUGAAAGUACCUUCCUACACCCGAGCUCAAAUGCUCCUGGUGUGAACAGUAAAAUAAAAAAAAUUCAAAGAAUUUUGAUUUUUUUCGUGGCAUACUUUAAGAAAUGUUUGUUGUACAUGCAAAAUUUCAUCACGAAAUCACAUUGGUAGAAGUCAUGACAAAAAAAAACAAAGCUCCAAAAUGCGUUCAAAAGUAAUAUUUUCAGAGCAUUGAUUUUUUUUACUACGCCUUACAUCAAUAUGAUUUCGUGGUAAAAUUUUGCACGCACAACAAACAUUUCAUAAGUAUGCCACAAUUUUUUUAAAGAAUUUUUAGAAUUUUUUCUAUUUUAAAAUUUUACUUCACACCAGGAGCAUUUGUGUGCAGGUGUAGAAACUCCACGUCCAUUUGAUAGUAGUUAUAUAAGUGAAAAUGGUGGAUUAGUUCGUCUGAUUAGAGCCAUAUCUUUGCUUUAUUUUUCAUGCAGAAACACUUUCGAAAAGCACAUAAGCGCUCUUAGAUUAUAUAACACAUUUCUUUCUUUUCACAAUAAUUCUUGCCGACAUGUAGCUUUGAAAGGUAUGCAGUACUUGAUGUGGACUUUUUUCUUUAAGAAAUCUACUUGAUGUAGAGUGAUGAGAACACUUGUGCAGUAAACGACGAUGACCCAAGACCAAUAGCUUAGUGAGUCUUCCAGCGUGUAAUAUGAUCCAAGACCCACGACAAAAUUAAUUAACCAUUCUUGAUCGGUAAAAAUAAGACUCGGCUCGCUUCCGUCAUCCACGGCCCGCGCACAUCAUGACGAGGCGAGGCGGACGGCGGAGGAGGAGGAGUGCGCGUGUAUAAUUCCUCUUCUCCAUCUUCUAAUGACAUGUGGUAGAGUAACCUUUAUAAAAGGAUCUCACUCUUACUAUUGUAGCAGUAUGAUACUAAAUUUCCCACCACUUGUCAUGCACCUAAAUGGGCCUUAGAGAUUAAUCAGGAAUUAUUGUCUUAUAUAGGCCAAAGCGCACCUAUAAUCCAACAAUACCCCACUAGAUCUCGAGGCACAUAGUUUGUCAACUGUUCCAAACAAUGUUUGAUAUAUCAGAAUUUUCAGUGGAGACUAUUAAGUUAAACUUUUACCUAGAGCAACAGGAUUACACUUCUUCAAUGGACCAUGCCUUGAAUUGUCAGUUUAGUGUGCUAAAGUUUCGCCUGUUGUCAGCUGAUACGUGGUUGCCGAAGGCUAAACCCUAUGGGUGAAGCUUAUUAAUCCUACCCCUUAUCUUCUCAUGAGCUUUCUAAAGAUUACCCAAUCUCAUAGACUGUGUGACCAGUAGUCGGGCUCAUAUAGGUGUGUUCCUUCAAAGAAUGCUCUGUAGAAUAGUAUCUUACUUACACAACUUUUGAAACACAUUAAGACAAAAGUCAGCUGCCUUACAGAUUAAGAGAGUAUUGGAGUGUGUUAGUAAGGAUACUCUCCUCAGUUGACCGUUGAAUUAUUUUCCCAGGUCCUAAUUCACGAGAUCUCCGAUCACAUAGGUUGGGUUACCCCAUGGCUACUUACGUGGGUCUCAUACCCAUCCCCCUCGAUGCAUUUUCUAUCACAAUCCGUGAUAGCCCUUUCAUGAAGGGAUCCGCCAGAUUCUUAGCCGUUUGGAUGUAAUCCAAUGCUAUAACUCCGGAGUUUCUAGAAUGCAAGACGAAUUUUAAUAUUCUUCUUACGUGCUUUGUGGAUUGCAUGUUGUCCUUUGAACUCUUAGCAUUGACAAUCACGGUUCGAUUAUCACAGUUCAUAAGUAUAACCAGGACUGACUUAUCAACCACUGGCAAAUCCAUCAAGAGCUCUCGAAGCCAUUCUGUUUCGACGCAUGAUGUGUCUAAUGUUGUGAGUUCUGCUUCCAUAGUCGAUCCCAUUAAGAUCGCCUGUUUGCAAGACUUCCAAAAAACAGCAGCACGACCAAUAUUCAAUAAGAAAGAUCUACAUUCUGGACGGUAAUAUCCGACAAGAAAUUGAAUCCGUGGCCUAAAGAUACUCUUCCUGGCCUUAAAACUAACUUUGAUAUUCAAUACGAAUCAAAACCGUAGCAACGCAGAGGCACAUUUGAAAGUAGUUAUAUAUAAGUGAAAAUGGUGGAUUAGUUCGUCUACUUAGAGCCAUGGCUUUGCUUUAAUUUUCAUCCAGAAAUACUUUGGAAAAGCUCAUAAGCGCUCUUAGAUUUUUUUUCUUUUUUGCAGUUUGUGCAAUGAUGGUCUGAUCCCUAGCACCUAAUACAAAACUAUGGCGAAGCAAUAAAUUAUAAAACACAUUUCUUUCUUUCCACAAUAAUUCUUGCCGACAUCUUUGAAAGGUAUGCAGUACUUGAUGUGGAUUUCUUUAGGAAUCUACUUGAUGUAGAGUGAUGAGAACACUUGUGCAGUAUACGACGAGGACCCAAGACCCAUAGCUACUGAGUCCUUCUAGCGUGUAAAUAGUGUGGUCUGUAAAUAUUCCUCGUCUUUCAUGACCCAAGACCCAUGACAGCAGUGGUCAGCAGUAGCGAUCUAAUAUUUGAGAGGAAUGGAGACCAGUCAGCAGCAGAAAGUAUCUCCGAGCAAGCGUGUGGUAAGUAGAAUACCAGUGACGCGCCUAUAAAUUAAGAACAAUGGUGAACGGGAAGAAUCAAACACUCCAUACUCCAAACUUGUAAACAUAUACGUAUAUGCUUUGUUGGUCUCGUCUCUGCCCUGCAGCCGAAGGCGUAGCUCUUAUUCCUGCCAGGAAAGAAAAGGAAAUCCCCCAGGUGAUUCACCCAGAACAAUCCAUGAAUUCAUGAAUAUCUGCUAGCAUAUAUUAUGUCAUUUAUUAACCAUCUAAAAAUUUCUCCUUUCGCAUAUAUUACAUACUGAAGAUCGAUCUAAUUCGACCAGCGCACGUACCACUAGCUGCCCAGCUAUGAAGGUUACUGCUAAGACCCGACAGUUGCUUCUCUUGGUGUUGGUGGCUUGCACUGCACAUGCCGCCAUCUGCAGCUCCUCCUCCUUGCAUGGAAACGAGACAGAUCGACUAUCACUGCUGGGAUUCAAAAAUGCAAUCAGUCUCGAUCCGCAGCAAGUCUUCAUGUCCUGGAACGAUAGCACACACUUCUGCAACUGGGAAGGUGUCUUGUGCAGGACAAAGAAGACUCUACCACAUCGUGUCACUUCUCUAAACCUUACAAGCCGAGGUUUGGUAGGAGUAGGACACAUCUCUCCUACACUUGGGAACCUUUCAUUCUUGCACUCUCUAGCCCUGACGGAAAACUCACUUACCGGGGAGAUUCCGCCCUCCCUGUCACUUGCGCCGCCUCCAAACCUUGCACUUGGAAAAUAACACACUGCAAGGUAGGAUACCGAGUUUUGCAAACUGCUCGAAGCUCAAGGAUCUGCGUUUUUCAUUUAACAAUCUAGUUGGCCAAUUUCCUGCUGAUUUGCCUCCUCGCCUUCAGCUGUUAAAACUUCCAGCUAAUAACCUCACUGGCACCAUCCCAGCUUCUCUUGCCAAUAUCACAACACUAAAAGUGAUUUCCUUUGCAUAUAAUCACUUCAAGGGAAAUAUCCCAAGUGAGUUUGCAGACUUGUCCAGCUUGCAGACCCUGUAUGUUGGUAUCAAUCAGCUCACAGGUAGGUUUCCCCAAGCCAUCUUGAAUCUUUCUACACUUGUCGGCCUUUCCCUUGCUCUCAAUGGUCUAAGUGGGGAGGUACCACCAAAUUUAUGUUCCUCACUUCCCAAUCUCCAGAUACUUCAAUUGGGAGCCAACUUGUUUCGAGGGCACAUUCCUAGUUCACUUGCUAAUGCUUCCAAUCUAAUCUUCAUUUAUUUGAGCCGAAACCACUUCACCGGAUCGGUGCCCAAGAUUGGCAAACUUACCAACCUCGCACAUUUGAAUCUUGAAAGAAAUCAACUCCAAGCACAUAGCAGGGAAGAUUGGGAGUUUUUGGACAGCUUAGGCAACUGUACGGAGCUACAAGUGUUCGGGAUGGGUUGGAAUCGUCUAUCAGGGCAGGUACCAAGUUCAUUAGGCAACCUUUCGAGUCAAAUCCAACGUCUAUACUUGAAUGAAAAUCAACUAUAGGGAGGUUUUCCUCCCGGCAUAGAAAACCAUCGCAACCUGUUUGUUUUAGCAUUGGAGGGGAAUCAUUUUACAGGUGUGCUUCCUGAGUGGAUUGGAAUUCUCAAACCUUUGGAACAAGUUCGUUUGAACACAAACUUCUUUACAGGGAUCAUUCCAUCAUCCUUGUCCAACUUGUCUCAAUUGGGAUUGCUCACUAUAUUCUCGAACCAGUUAACUGGCCAUAUACCACCAAGUUUUGGAAACUUUCCAAUGCUUCAAUAUUUGGACAUUUCCAGCAACAAUCUUGAUGGUAAGAUUCCAAUGGAGAUCUUCAAAAUACCAGCAAUAAAUAUAAUUAAUGUAUCUUUCAAUAACCUCCACGGACAACUUCCUACAAGCAUUGGGAAUGCUAAACAACUCAUAAAUUUUGCGUCUUCAUCAAACAAGCUAUCCGGAGAUAUUCCAAACAGUCUGGGUGAUUGUGAAAGUUUAGAAUACAUUGAAUUAGACUCAAAUAUUUUUAUUGGAAGCAUUCCCACUUCAUUAGGCCACAUAACCAGCCUCAAAGUUUUGAACUGUUCCACCAAUAACUUAACUGGGCCAAUACCAAUAACUCUUGGCAACCUACAAUAUCUUGAGAAAAUAGAUUUGUCAUUCAACAAUCUUAAAGGUGAGGUUCCAACAAAAGGUAUCUUCCGUAAUGCUACUGUUGUGUGGAUUGAUGGAAACAAGGGUCUUUGUGGUGGGGCACUGGAGUUACACAUGCCAGCAUGUUCUAUUAUGCCUUCAAGUUCAACUAGACACAAGAAAUAUUUAGUGCUCGAAGGAGUUAUACUAACAGCCAGUAUGGUGUCACUUGCUAUUGUCAUAUUUGGCUUAAUUCUCUGGAGAGGAAAACACAAGAGAGAAUCUAUAUCUUUGCCUUCAUUUUCUACAACAUUUCCCAAAGUUCCUUUCAAUGAUCUAGCGAGAGCAACACAAGGAUUUUCAACAUCCAACUUAAUUGGCAACGGGAGGUAUAGUUCUGUAUACCAAGGAAAACUAUUUGAAGAAGAAAAUGAGGUUGCAGUAAAAGUCUUCAACCUCGAGACAAGAGGAGCACAAAAGAGCUUUUUUGCGGAAUGUAAUGCAUUGAAAAAUCUUCGGCACCACAAUCUGGUCCCAAUUCGAACUGCAUGCUCAAGUACUUAUUCUAAUGGUAUUGAUUUCAAGGCCCUAGUGUAUGAGUUCAUGCCACGAGGAGACUUACAUAAACUACUAUAUUCAACUAGAGACUCUGAAGGAUCUUCAAAGUUGAACCUUCUUACAAUGACUCAAAGGAUGAGCAUUAUGGUGGAUGUAGCAGAUGCAAUGGAGUACCUACACCAUAACAAUCAAGGAACAAUGGUUCAUUGUGAUCUGAAGCCUAGCAACAUUCUUUUGGAUGACAAUAUGACAGCUCAUGUUGGAGACUUUGGCUUGGCAAGAUUCAAAGUUGGUUCCACGGUGUUAUCUCUUGGUAACCCAAACUCUUCUUCGGUUGGACUAAUGGGGACGAUCGGAUACGCUGCUCCAGGUAACAGCCUUAUUAUAUCUUGUGUUGAUCUACAUUUGUCUUAACGAGUGAAAGAGAAAUCAACUCCUCUUUUUAUCCAUUCCAUUUGUAGAAUAUGCAAGUGGUGGUCAAGUUUCAACCGCCGCAGAUGUUUACAGCUUUGGUGUUGUCCUCCUCGAGAUAUUCCUUGGGAGAAGGCCAACUGAUGACAUGUUUAAGGAUGGACUGAGUAUUGUGAAGUUUACAGAGAUCAGUUUACGUGAUAGAGUAAUUGAGAUUAUCGAUCCUCAACUGAUACAAGAGUUGGAGCUUUGUCAUGAUACUCCAAUUGGUUUGAAUGGAAAAGGUGUAUGCUCUCUGCUAUGUAUGCUAAACAUUGGUCUUUGCUGCACCAAGACAUCUCCGGGUAUUCGCAUCAACAUGCAAGAGGUGGCUGCCAAGCUACAUGGUAUCAGAGAUGCAUAUAUCAUAGAGAACUGAAGUAGCACUUUCGUUGCUUAUGUAGCAUUAGCUAUCUUAACAAGUACAUUUUUGUAAGAUUGGCGCUUGUUGCACAGCCUAUAUGUUAGGAACGGAUUUACGAAUUUCAAACCUUGUGUUUUGUUACUACAUCAGCCAAUCGUUGUAAAUCUCUAACGUUUGUAACCUAUCCCGAUAUAGUGAAAUUCGUUGGCUGGAGCCCGUGGUUUUUUCCCUUCUCAUUGGAGGGGUUUUCCACGCUAAAUUUCUUGUGUCCACACUGUGUUGAUUUGAUCUUCUUCGUGUUCUUGCAUGUCGUAUUUUUAACAUCUUUGUUUUGGAAGCAAAAUCAUCGCCAUCCUUAAACAGAGUGAACAAAGACAUAUCAUCUAUACCUACCACCUCGUUCAUCAUCUUCAUGUAUGAUUGUUGACUAUAUUAUUAUAAUUACAAAAGUAAUGAACAAUACAAAUUUUCAUGUAAAAUUAUGAUUGCGUAUUGUACAAAUUAAACAAACGAAAACCAAUUUUUUACCUUUCCUUCGUUUCAUCAUAUGCCUCAUUGGCAUUGUACAUGUGGAAGUCGUCAUCGUCCUCAGGGAAGGCCAACAGCAUCUGCAGGGGCAGACCCAGGACAAAAACGUCCCGGUGCUCGCAUGUACGCCAUAUAUGGGUAGAUACCAAGCAACAAUGUAUGUAAAAGUAACAUACUCAACAAUUUAAAAGUUUAGUAAUAAAAAUGCUUACCAAAAGCAAGUGUUCGACAUGAAAACUUGUUCAUAUGUCGAGGCAUUAAUUUGCGUGUGUGAUGGGGCAUCACCUAGUUCAUGAGGCAAAGCGUGCAAAGGAUAGAGCUAUAUUGACUGUUUGCUUGCUCAUUUCUUCCACAUAAAAUUAUCUCUCUCCUGGAGCUGACCUUGGAUAAAACUCAGAACUUCCUUCGGUGAUGCUUAUGUGAGACUGCAUGUGCGUAAUUUAUUCUGACCCUGUAAGGAACUGGAAACUCUGCCUCUUGAUGACAUUAUCAUGUGGUGAUCCUACUAUGAGCUCUAAAUGGUCAUCGUCUUUUAAGUCAAAUCUGGCUUAUAUAUAUUAGACUUGCAAUGUGCAUGUGCUUUGGUAUGGAACGAGAGGAGGAUAUUAUCAGUAGUGUGUUGAGCACUUGUGGUCUUCUUGACGCGGUUCUAGCGACUGCGAGCUAGUGCCCCAUUGGGGAUCGAGUGUCAUGGUCUCAUGGAGGUGAUUGAACAAGAGGAGUAGGGAGUGGUCAUGGAGGUGAUUGAACACGAGGAGUAGGAGUAGGUAAUUGAAUUUCAAACCCAUCUUAACCGAGAUUGGAAAACAAAAGCGGCAGGAGGAGAGGGAUUGGGUGAGAAGAGAUGGCAGCUGGUUAUGCAAAUGGUUUCAGACAAGUAUUUUGGAACGGAGGUAGUAGCUUAUUGCGCUGCUUGCUAUGCAAUGACUUGACAUGAAUGGUCUGAAAAUGCUUGAUGCAAUGCUAUAUGUCUGAAAAUGCUCGACACAAUGACAGCAACGAGUUGGAGUCUGAAAGUGUUCUAUGCGAUGCUGGUUAUGUUGGAAAUGAUGUGCUACAAGCAUGCUGACCGCAGUAAAUAAAUAAAUAAAAUAGAAAGUACACACAGAAGCUAAAAGGGCUGUCAAGCCUUAUGAAAAGCAGUUCUGACAGAGUGUGGCCUUCUUCCUGAUGUUCCCAAGAUAAUAACUGCCAUAUACCCAUAUGUUUGGGUGUGUGUGCAAAGAGAUCAGCAGAGAGAAAUAUCAAUAUUGUUCUUCCUCGCCUCCUCCCGCCGCUCCCUGGCCUCCCGCUCCUUCCUCGCCUCGUCGAAUCUGUAUCCCAUUAUUCCCUUCCCUGUCACGUUGUACUUGUAUGUGACCAUCAUGGUAAGGGCGAUGCGGCCAAACAGCAGCUCAGGCCCUCUCCUGUAAUAAAGCCACCAUCAGCAGAUCAGAUAUGUUGCAAAUCUCAGCAACAAUUCAGAAAAUAAAUGAAUUUAUGAACAGUUUGUUUGGGAAUAAUUAUGAAGAAAUGAGCAACGAGAAGAGGUUGAAAAUGGCAAAAUCAUCAAAUAAGGAUGAUGUAUGCAGUACCAGUUUUCGUAAAAAGAUUCUAUUGCUCUCUUGAUGUUAUCAGCCGUCCAGGAUCCAUAAUCCGUACCAUCGGAGGACAUCAUCCUCUAUAAAUCGGAGUAGCUAAAUAAGAUACUACAAUCAAUUUUUUUUAAAAAAAGUUACUACAAUCAAUUUUUUUUUAAAAAAGUUACUACAAUCAAAAGGAAGCUGAAAAUCACAACUAGUCGAGCCUCGAGCCAAGGUAGGGAAAUACUACUGCAGGCUUACAAUCCCUCCCAGACAUACGAAUACGCAAAUUACCCGUCGACAAGCAGAGAUGCCUACGUACGUACGUACCCGGGUGGUGUAGCUGCCUCCGCUGCUGCCGGAGAACCGACGGGCCAGUGCCGGCCGCCGGAGCGCGAGCCCAGUGGCGGAUCGGAGCAUCGCCAACGCGGCACUUGUAUUGCUCGGGACGGCAGAAGAUCGCGGUGGUUGAGUCGGCUGAAGACCGCCGGAGCGGGAGCGUGCGUCUUCGACGUCGACUGAGGUCUCAGGUCGCGACUCGCGAUCGCCUCAGCCUCUGGGUCUCCAGCGGCCUGGUCCAAUCCUACCCUUGGGCGUAUAAGCCCUAGAAUUCACCACUGAUUCACCAAAAAAAAAA
rnacentral:lncRNA from 1 species